GACGAACCGUGCGAACGUUGUUCGGAAUCACUGGCUUAAAGGGCGCGUAGGCGGACCUCCAAGUCCGGGGUGAAAAUCUUUCGGCUUAACCGGAAAAGUGCCUUGGAUACUGGGGGUCUCGGAAGGGAGGCAGGGGCUGGAUGGAAGCGUUCCGGUGGAGCGGUGAAAUGCGUUGGAUAUCGGAAGGAACGCCGGUGGCGAAAGCGAUCCGCUGGACCUC
rnacentral:rRNA from 1 species